AUACGUAGGGGGCGAGCGUUGUCCGGAAUGAUUGGGCGUAAAGGGCGCGUAGGCGGCCUGUUAAGUCUGGAGUGAAAGUCCUGUUUUCAAGAUGGGAAUUGCUUUGGAUACUGAUGGGCUUGAGUGCAGGAGAGGUUAUCGGAAUUCCCGGUGUAGCGGUGAAAUGCGUAGAGAUCGGGAGGAACACCAGUGGCGAAGGCGGGUAACUGGACUGCAACUGACGCUGAGGCGCGAAAGUGUGGGGAGCAAACAGGAUUAGAUACCCUGGUAGUCCACACUGUAAACGAUGAAUGCUAGGUGUAGGAGGUAUCGACCCCUUCUGUGCCGCAGUAAACACAGUAAGCAUUCCGCCUGGGGAGUACGGUCGCAAGAUUAAAACUCAAAUGAAUUGGCGGGG
rnacentral:rRNA from 1 species